rnacentral:rRNA from 1 species
UUAAGCGACUAAGCGUACACGGUGGAUGCCCUGGCAGUCAGAGGCGAUGAAGGACGUGCUAAUCUGCGAUAAGCGUCGGUGAGGUGAUAUGAACCGUUAUAACCGGCGAUUUCCGAAUGGGGAAACCCAGUGUGUUUCGACACACUAUCAUUAACUGAAUCCAUAGGUUAAUGAGGCGAACCGGGGGAACUGAAACAUCUAAGUACCCCGAGGAAAAGAAAUCAACCGAGAUUCCCCCAGUAGCGGCGAGCGAACGGGGAGGAGCCCAGAGCCUGAAUCAGUGUGUGUGUUAGUGGAAGCGUCUGGAAAGGCGCGCGAUACAGGGUGACAGCCCCGUACACAAAAAUGCACAUAUUGUGAGCUCGAUGAGUAGGGCGGGACACGUGGUAUCCUGUCUGAAUAUGGGGGGACCAUCCUCCAAGGCUAAAUACUCCUGACUGACCGAUAGUGAACCAGUACCGUGAGGGAAAGGCGAAAAGAACCCCGGCGAGGGGAGUGAAAAAGAACCUGAAACCGUGUACGUACAAGCAGUGGGAGCCUCUUAAUGGGGUGACUGCGUACCUUUUGUAUAAUGGGUCAGCGACUUAUAUUCUGUAGCAAGGUUAACCGAAUAGGGGAGCCGAAGGGAAACCGAGUCUUAACUGGGCGUUAAGUUGCAGGGUAUAGACCCGAAACCCGGUGAUCUAGCCAUGGGCAGGUUGAAGGUUGGGUAACACUAACUGGAGGACCGAACCGACUAAUGUUGAAAAAUUAGCGGAUGACUUGUGGCUGGGGGUGAAAGGCCAAUCAAACCGGGAGAUAGCUGGUUCUCCCCGAAAGCUAUUUAGGUAGCGCCUCGUGAAUUCAUCUCCGGGGGUAGAGCACUGUUUCGGCAAGGGGGUCAUCCCGACUUACCAACCCGAUGCAAACUGCGAAUACCGGAGAAUGUUAUCACGGGAGACACACGGCGGGUGCUAACGUCCGUCGUGAAGAGGGAAACAACCCAGACCGCCAGCUAAGGUCCCAAAGUCAUGGUUAAGUGGGAAACGAUGUGGGAAGGCCCAGACAGCCAGGAUGUUGGCUUAGAAGCAGCCAUCAUUUAAAGAAAGCGUAAUAGCUCACUGGUCGAGUCGGCCUGCGCGGAAGAUGUAACGGGGCUAAACCAUGCACCGAAGCUGCGGCAGCGACACUAUGUGUUGUUGGGUAGGGGAGCGUUCUGUAAGCCUGUGAAGGUGGCCUGUGAGGGUUGCUGGAGGUAUCAGAAGUGCGAAUGCUGACAUAAGUAACGAUAAAGCGGGUGAAAAGCCCGCUCGCCGGAAGACCAAGGGUUCCUGUCCAACGUUAAUCGGGGCAGGGUGAGUCGACCCCUAAGGCGAGGCCGAAAGGCGUAGUCGAUGGGAAACAGGUUAAUAUUCCUGUACUUGGUGUUACUGCGAAGGGGGGACGGAGAAGGCUAUGUUGGCCGGGCGACGGUUGUCCCGGUUUAAGCGUGUAGGCUGGUUUUCCAGGCAAAUCCGGAAAACCAAGGCUGAGGCGUGAUGACGAGGCACUACGGUGCUGAAGCGACAAAUGCCCUGCUUCCAGGAAAAGCCUCUAAGCAUCAGGUAACAUCAAAUCGUACCCCAAACCGACACAGGUGGUCAGGUAGAGAAUACCAAGGCGCUUGAGAGAACUCGGGUGAAGGAACUAGGCAAAAUGGUGCCGUAACUUCGGGAGAAGGCACGCUGAUAUGUAGGUGAAGCGACUUGCUCGUGGAGCUGAAAUCAGUCGAAGAUACCAGCUGGCUGCAACUGUUUAUUAAAAACACAGCACUGUGCAAACACGAAAGUGGACGUAUACGGUGUGACGCCUGCCCGGUGCCGGAAGGUUAAUUGAUGGGGUUAGCGGUAACGCGAAGCUCUUGAUCGAAGCCCCGGUAAACGGCGGCCGUAACUAUAACGGUCCUAAGGUAGCGAAAUUCCUUGUCGGGU